GCACCGCGUCCCGCGACGGGUCCCCGAGUGUCACCUCCCUGCUGGCACAGGCUUGGGGACACGCACGGAGCCCCCGGGACAGGCUUCGGUCCCCGAGUGUCACCUCCCUGCUGGCACAGCCUUGGGACAGUGACAGUGUCCCCGGUGUCACCUCCCUGCUGGCACAGCCUUGGGGACAGUGACGGUGUCCCCGGUCUCACCUCCCUGAUGACACAGCCUUGGGGACAUCACUGAGCCCCAGGACGGGCUCUGUCCCCACCUUGUCACCUCCCUGCUGGUGAUGUGGGGUCAGGGAUGGACUCCUGUCCCCACCUUGUCACCUCCCUACUGGCACAACCUUGGGGACAGUGACAGUGUCCCAAGACACACUCUGGUCCCCAAGUGUCACCUCCCUGCUGGUGCAGGGUCAGGGACGGGCUCUGGUCCCCGGGUGUCACCUCCCUGCUGGCCCAGCCUUGGGGACAUCACUGAGCCCCAGGUGUCACCUCCCUGCUGGCCCAGCCUUGGGGACACCCCCGAGCCCCCGGCAGGGCUCAGGUCCCCAAAUGUCCCCCCGACACCAGCAGGUGUCCCCAGAGGUGGGGACAGUGGCGGUGGCAGCAGCACCAAGGACCCUCCGGAGCCACCAGACCCCCCCUGGGCACGGGAACCCUCCGGGGGGGCUCCCAAGGACAAGGGGACCCCAAAGGACAUGGGGACCCCCCCAAGGACAACCAGGACCCCCUCCUGGACACGGGGACCCCAAAGGACAUGGGGACCCCUCCCAAGGACAACCAGGACCCCCUCCUGGACCCCCAAGGACAUGGGGACCCCCCAAGGACAUGGGGACCCCCCCA